rnacentral:rRNA from 1 species
GAUGAACGCUGGCGGCGUGCCUAAUACAUGCAAGUCGAGCGAACGGACGAGAAGCUCGCUUCUCUGAUGUUAGCGGCGGACGGGUGAGUAACACGUGGAUAACCUACCUAUAAGACUGGGAUAACUUCGGGAAACCGGAGCUAAUACCGGAUAAUAUUUUGAACCGCAUGGUUCAAAAGUGAAAGACGGUCUUGCUGUCACUUAUAGAUGGAUCCGCGCUGCAUUAGCUAGUUGGUAAGGUAACGGCUUACCAAGGCAACGAUGCAUAGCCGACCUGAGAGGGGGAUCGGCCACACUGGAACUGAGACACGGUCCAGACUCCUACGGGAGGCAGCAGUAGGGAAUCUUCCGCAAUGGGCGAAAGCCUGACGGAGCAACGCCGCGUGAGUGAUGAAGGUCUUCGGAUCGUAAAACUCUGUUAUUAGGCAAGAACAUAUGUGUAAGUAACUGUGCACAUCUUGACGGUACCUAAUCAGAAAGCCACGGCUAACUACGUG